AGUGGAUUCCUGGCCCGGUGUGGGAGAAGUCAUUUGUCACACGCUCAGGAGAGACGUUGCUUAUUUAUCUCAGGGAAGAUGGACAUGGAGUGAGGUGGUGUCUUUCCCCAUAUUACAGCUGCAUUGCAUUUUUAAAGGGAAUGUCAGGGGGAUUGCAUAACAGAAGUAAAACUUCCAGGAAUACAGCGACAACGCAUGCAGUUAGGUGUUUCUGGAUCCAUCCACAUGCAAACUGAAAAUUGGAAGCAAGUGCAAAUGGCAGCAAGAACUUUACCAGAUCCUGGUGCAGGCAGGGUCACUUCAAAGUCGCUUGUUUCCGUGGCAUCCUUGAUUGCCUUCUGUGAUGUGUAUUAAGAAGCCCAGGUCAGUGUUGCAUUAUUUUUGCUCUCUUAGUGGACUAUUGAAACUUUUAUGGGCAAGUGAAAAAAAAAAAAAAAAGAUAUUUCAAGCAAACAAAAUGAAUCCUGAUUUCAGCACGUGCUCCUGAAAUACUUCUGAUAUUUUUCACAGCUUGCUGGUGAUAAACACCACUAGUACAAUUGCUCCUGGAAGAUGAAAGAACGAAAAGGAAAUUCAAAGUUUUCAUCUGAACACAUGCAAGUAUAAAUUGAAUCCUAGCCAAUGUCAGUUAUUGCUUGAUAAUCCUUGUCCAGGCUGAUAAGACCAGUGGGCCUUCAAUCUUUUGAUUUUAUUGAUUUACUGUAUUUAAGCCCUAUUUCUUUGCUUUAAUCAGCUAAAAGUAUUAUGAAGAAUAGAUUAUAACAAGGUAUUGUUACCUACUCGUAGUAGAUACUGGGGAAAAAAAAAAAGGAAUAUGGAGUGGGACAAAUACAUUGAUUCUGAAAAUCAAGAUUUUGACCUGGCCAAUACAUGUUGGGAAGGAUGAGCUUUUAAAUACACAACAAUGAGACUGCAAUUCAUUUUCGGAUCAAUAAAAUAGACAGCGAUGACAGUGGUAGUCUUUGCAUUGAUUUCAAUAUUCAGUGCGUUGAAUCUCCUGAGAAAUGCUUUUUUAACUCAUGAAAGUGUCCUCCUGAAACAUCUUUCCUGUAAAGAUUUCCUUCUGUCUUUAAAGUGUGUUACAGCUAUCCGAACUUGGGAUGGUAUUUGAAAUUCUGCUGAUCAUUUUGGGGGGGUUCACUUUUUUGUUUUUGUUUCAAUCUUGACAUGCUUCUGUGUGUUAUUCUAGCCCUCAUCAAUAAACUUGUUUACUUAAAAAAAGUUUUAACUUUUUUUUUUAAGACUUUAGCUUUUAGAUUACCAUGUGCAUAAAAGCAAGAGUUGGUCUGAAUCACUGAAGAUGUACUGAAAAAGGACUUAAAGACAAUAAAGAGCUGAGAUCAGUGAGGCCGUAAAUAAUUACGUCUUGAGUUUACUGAAAAGGGAUAUGUUUUGUGUAAUCGCAGAUAGAGAAAGUGAUUUGCUCACGUUCACUCUUUUGUUAACAUGUUCUCUAUUGAAUGGCAAUGAAAAAUUGACAUCAAUAGAAAAAACAUUUUUCUGGAAAGCUCUUUCCGAUGCUCAAGUGCAGCGUCAAAUGUCAAUUGCCAUUGCAUACUUUAUAAAACAUUUGAAAUACAUAUUAUAAUCUGACAAAGCCACCUCUUUAAAUCAGCCAAGACAUUUUCUACUACUGGGAUAAUAUCUUUGGAGCACCUUGUUAGAAAUCUUAGGUUGUUGUUUAAUAGAAGUUAAAGGAGCAAGCCUUCAGUCCUGACCCUCCACAACUCCAGCCAACACCCUUGUGUGCUUUCCCUCGGUGCACCAAAAAUGACCCACAUGUCCAUCAGUUCGGUCAUUCUGUAGUAUGAGAAGUGGAUUUAGAGGUAUCUCUGUUUUAACUAUUACUGCUAGUGUAGUCAAAUAUCCUGGCUGGCUACGGGCAAAGAUACUCAGUUUGUAAUUUUGUGAGAACGGACGUCACGAUUCUGUCAUUUUUUGGUCCUCCAACUUUCUCUGCAAAGGCCAGGCAGGGACAGGAAUGAGCCAUGUGGGAGACGUUGCACCUACAGCUCCACCUGUUCAUGCUGAAUUGAAUCAGGAUGAGAAAAGUCCUUGCUUAUCUUUGGGAAAAAAAGCUGAAGGCCAGUCUAUUUCUCUCCUCCGCAUGCUGGUGCCAUAGGGUAGAUGAGAGCACUGAGCACUUCUCAUGGGGGGAAUCAAGAAGGACCAUGCGUGCAUGCUGCGGGCUGGGGUGUGUGCCACAAGCAAGGAGACGUGACAGCACACAGACAACCUGAACUUCCUCUAACAGGCAAAAGAACCCUGUACAUUUGGAGUAUCUCCACACAGAAGUCGCUUUGGUUUUGAUUUAUUGACUUAUUUAAUAUUUACUUAUACUAAAAUAGUUUUUAACUCCUCAAACAAGGGUUAUGCCUUGGGGUGUGACACUAGUAACUGGCAGAAGACACAACAGUGUCAGUGCAACUGUGUCUGUAGUAGGGACAGUGGCCCAGUAAUUACAUUGCUGGAAGCACUCUUCUGACUGAAAUAUUCAAACUGGUAUAAAAUUGGCAUGUGUUGGUAUAGCUUAGUUGGUUCUGUUUUAAACAGCUGGAUAAAGAAAAGCCAAGGGCAAAGCUUCACUCCGACUGCUCCUCAGGCUGCAAUGGGUGCUACAGCCGCCAGCAGCCGUAGCCCUCAGGCAAUGGCAGCAGUCGAGGGAUGGGAUGCUAGGGAUCAGGUGUGCCCGACAGAGGGAAAAGUGUUUCCACACGGGGCUGACAAAGAUUUCUUCACCCGAGUAGCAUCACCUGUCUAGGAAGAAGAGCUCAAAACUAAGACAGAGACAGAAGGGAUCAAGAUGCCAACUGCUGUUCUUCUUACAGAGUUUUGGUAGAUGGAAAUGAGCAAUGAUAUGACAGGACCCCAAUCAAGAAUGGAAGAAAGAAAAGGAAUCUGACCCUUUAACCCAAUCGUUGCAAUAGAUUCAAAUAACCGUAUCAGGGUGGGGAAGCUGAGGAAAGAAUAUGGCUAUAAAUUGCUCUCAUCCGGAAAGGAAUUAACAUUCGUUUACCACUGCUGUGCUUCACUAAAGCAUCAUUCAGUCUUUCAGAGUAGCUUGUUUCUUGUGAACCCCACUGGCAAUUAAAAUGAAAAUAUUGGAGUGAGGAAGGGGAGAAAGGACCGGUAACGCAGUUCUGCAUUCUCUUUUUAUUAAUAUGUGGAAAACCAGACAUUUGUCUGGCAUAGAAUGCUGCCUGACUGUUUGCCUCCUCAUUUAGUUGCUACAGUAGCUGAAGAAAUGUCCUGCUUGUCCCUCAUGGUUUCUUUAUUAAGUUGGUAUAGUGCUUCUUGCGUUUGCUUCACGCUUAUAAAGGAGUAGGAAUUUUCCCCCAAAGGUAUUUUACCGAACGGAGUGGUACACACCUGCUCACAGCUGAGGUGAAACUUCCGUCCUUUGGGGUCACCUGUGGCUGUGCUGAUGAUAAGCACAAGACCGGGUUUCUUCAGGCAGCGAGUUAGUUUUUCUAUUAGUUGUUUAAACCUAUCUCAAAUAAGCAAGCCCUGGUUUUGAAAAAAUAGAUUGCUUAGGGAGCCAGCUAAAUAUACACUUAAUAGGCCCAAUUCCCAUCUUAUUUACCUUCAUGUAAUCAGAAACGAACUCAUCUAAUGCAGAAUAGAGUUACAUCAAAGUAGAACCGACCUGAUAGGAGAAAUCAACCUGUUACAUUUGGGGAUCCUCUAUUAUGUUUUCUGAAAGACAGGAGGUUGCCUGAUAAAACUUCUCCUGUGUAACUGAAAAUUAUGCUUUCAGAAGACUUUCAGCGAGAUGGUUGUUCCUUUUGAUUUAUCGGGUGUUUGUACUGUGGUCUUUUGAAUGCCUGAAAUAACCCUCUCUAUUUUUUUCCUAAUUAGGAACAUUUUGGUUGCCUUCCACUAGAUGGCUACACGGAAAGCAGUUUUGCAGGGAGCAGAGGCAGGCAGCCCUUCACAUCUGCGGGAAACUUAUUUGGUAUUUUUUUUCUUUUCUGAUUCAGUCUCUGAGUGAGUGAUGCAGCUGAGCUUCCCAGGCCUAAACCUCCUGUUCAGUGGGGGCUGGAGGAAAUCACUGCCUUGCAGGAACCUGCAGCGAAUCAAACAAGAUGAUCCGUUUGGUCCUGGUUUCAUUCAGUGCCACUUUGCACGCCCAGGCCACGCUCAAAUUGUACGUCCCCACCAGCAGAUGGAAGGAAUAUCCUGAGUGUUGUGUGCAGCAAACCUUAACACUGGCCCCUGUUAUGGGGCAUAUAUAAAACCAGGUGUAGCCUUGCACAGGUUAUGCUACACAGGGUACUUGGCCAUAGUGCUACAGCAGUUAAUACAGUGCCCAACUUUUAUCAUCUGCAGUACCACUGUGAUCUAGAGCAGGUGUGGGCACGGGACUUUUAUUUCCCCAAAUUAGUCAGAGCACCUUAUGCCAGCUUUCCACCAGCUGUAGGAUGACAGAGUACCUGCUGGAGUAUAAAAACCUGCCAGGACCACACUCUCAUGUCAAUACUUUCUGAACAUAUUUAAAUUGGGAGGGUGCACUCAUAUUAGGUCACCGUUUUGCAUUAGGUGGCAGUGGUGGUUUUGAUCUUAGGGUAGAAGACUAGAGCUACCGCCUCAAUGGAUUUUUCUGGAACCAGCUUAGCUCUAAGGGCAUGAAUAGUAGUAGAUGGUUUUAAUCGGGACCAGUUAGGUGCAGCAGGUGAGAUUUCUGUCAUUUAUGUUAGCCAACAGCUGUGCAUAGGAAAUUUCUCCUUAUUGUAACAACUUUGGGGGUUUUUUAGAGUGCUUUUCCUUAUUGGUCUGUAGCCCAUGAAGGAAGUAUCAUUAUUUGCAUUUUAUAAAUUGGGAAAUGGAAGCAUUCCCCAGUGAUGUGACUUCCUCAAUGCCUUCCAGCCUGUCUGUGGCAGACCUGGGAAGAACAGAGUUAAAAAUUGCAUGAAUCCCAAAAGAGAUGGGGAAGUGGGGAGACCAAGCUGCAAUAUCCCGGGGGUUUUGGUUUGGGGGUUUUGCUGGAGGGAGGAAUGUAGUAAUGUAGCUAAUGUUAUUGGAAAAACUCCUACUGACUUCUUUACUGGCUUUACUUGUGCAGCUCAGGAUGCAGACACCCUAGAGAAGGCUUUUUUUUUUUAAAAGCUGUAUUUGUACCUAAACAUCGUGUUGAAUCUGGAAUUUAUUCUCCAAAAAGUUAAGGAUGCAAACAGUAACCCAAAAAUAAACUAAUCUAGAGCAAUGGAUGCUGUAUUGUAAACAAAAGACACUGAAAGAAU